rnacentral:rRNA from 1 species
UACGUAGGGUGCAAGCGUUGUCCGGAAUUAUUGGGCGUAAAGAGCUUGUAGGCGGUUUGUCGCGUCUGCUGUGAAAUUUCGGGGCUCAACCCCGAACUUGCAGUGGGUACGGGCAGACUAGAGUGUGGUAGGGGAGACUGGAAUUCCUGGUGUAGCGGUGAAAAUGCGCAGAUAUCAGGAGGAACACCGGUGGCGAAGGCGGAUCUCUGGGCCAUUACUGACGCUGAGGAGCGAAAGCGUGGGGGAGCGAACAGG